UGGGGAAUAUUGCACAAUGGGCGCAAGCCUGAUGCAGCCAUGCCGCGUGUGUGAAGAAGGCCUCGGUUGUAAAGCACUUUCAGCGAGGAGGAAGGUGGUGAACUUAAUACGUUCAUCAAUUGACGUUACUCGCAGAAGAAGCACCGGCUAACUCCGUGCCAGCAGCCGCGGUAAUACGGAGGGUGCAAGCGUUAAUCGGAAUUACUGGGCGUAAAGCGCACGCAGGCGGUUUGUUAAGUCAGAUGUGAAAUCCCCGGGCUCAACCUGGGAACUGCAUUUGAAACUGGCAAGCUAGAGUCUCGUAGAGGGGGGUAGAAUUCCAGGUGUAGCGGUGAAAUGCGUAGAGAUCUGGAGGAAUACCGGUGGCGAAGGCGGCCCCCUGGACGAAGACUGACGCUCAGGUGCGAAAAGCGUGGGGAGCAAAACAGGAUUAGAUACCCCUGGUAGUCCACGCUGUAAAACGAUGUCGAUUUUGGAGGUUGUGCCCUUGAGGCGUGGCUUCCGGAGCUAACGCGUUAAAUCGACCGCCUGGGGAGUACGGCCGCAAGGUUAAAACUC
rnacentral:rRNA from 1 species